rnacentral:ncRNA from 1 species
UUGAAAAGCCAGUGGCGCGAAGCUACCGUGCGUUGGAUUAUGACUGAACGCCUCUAAGUCAGAAUCCGGGCUAGACCGACGCAUGCGCUCGUCGCCCGUUUGCCGACCCGCAGUAGGGGCCAUUUGGCCCCCAAGGGCACGUGUCGUUGGCUAAGCCGUCGUGGCGGAAGGGUCACGGUGGCCGCCUUGAAUUACAAUUCCGAUCGAGCGGCGAGCUGAAUCCUUUGCAGACGACUUAAAUACGCGACGGGGUAUUGUAAGGGGUAGAGUGGCCUUGCUGCCGAUCCUCUGAGAUUCAGCCCUUUGUCGCUCCGAUUCGU